AAUAGAUACCCCGGUAGUCCACGCCCUAAACGAUGUCAACUGGUUGUCGGGGAAGUUAUUCCUUGGUAACGAAGCUAACGCGUGAAGUUGACCGCCUGGGGAGUACGGCCGCAAGGUUAAAACUCAAAGGAAUUGACGGGGACCCGCACAAGCGGUGGAUUAUGUGGAUUAAUUCGAUGCAACGCGAAAAACCUUACCUACCCUUGACUUGUCAGGAAUCCUGCAGAGAUGCGGGAGUGCCCGAAAGGGAACCUGAACACAGGUGCUGCAUGGCUGUCGUCAGCUCGUGUCGUGAGAUGUUGGGUUAAGUCCCGCAACGAGCGCAACCCUUGCCAUUAGUUGCCACAUUCAGUUGGGCACUCUAAUGGGACUGCCGGUGACAAACCGGAGGAAGGUGGGGAUGACGUCAAGUCCUCAUGGCCCUUAUGGGUAGGGCUUCACACGUAAUACAAUGGCCGGUACAGAGGGCUGCCAACCCGCAAGGGGAGCUAAUCCCAGAAAGCCGGUCGUAGUCCGGAUUGUUCUCUGCAACUCGAGAGCAUGAAGUCGG
rnacentral:rRNA from 1 species